GACGAACGCUGGCGGCGUGCCUAAUACAUGCAAGUCGAGCGCUGAAGUUUGGUACUUGUACCGUCUGGGUGAGCGGCGAACGGGUGAGUAACGCGUGGAGAAUCUGCCUUUGAGCGGGGGACAACAUCUGGAAACGAAUGCUAAUACCGCAUAAAAACUUUAAACACAAGUUUUAAGUUUGAAAGAUGCCAUUGCAUCACUCAAUGAUGAUCCCGCGUUGUAUUAGCUAGUUGGUGAGGUAAAGGCCCACCAAGGCGAUGAUACAUAGCCGACCUGAGAGGGGGAUCGGCCAACUUGGGACUGGGACACGGCCCAAACUCCUACGGGAGGCAGCAGGAGGGAAUCUUCGGCAAUGGACGAAAGUCUGACCGAGCAACGCCGCGUGAGGGAAGAAGGUUUUCGGAUCGUAAAAAUCUGUUGGUAGGGAAGGACGUUGGUGAGAGUGGAAAGCUCAUAAAGUGACGGUAACUACCCAGAAAGGGACGGCUAACUACGUG
rnacentral:rRNA from 1 species